GACGUGCUAAUCUGCGAUAAGCGUCGGUAAGGUGAUAUGAACCGUUAUAACCGGCGAUUUCCGAAUGGGGAAACCCAGUGUGAUUCGUCACACUAUCAUUAACUGAAUCCAUAGGUUAAUGAGGCGAACCGGGGGAACUGAAACAUCUAAGUACCCCGAGGAAAAGAAAUCAACCGAGAUUCCCCCAGUAGCGGCGAGCGAACGGGGAGCAGCCCAGAGCCUGAAUCAGUGUGUGUGUUAGUGGAAGCGUCUGGAAAGGCGUGCGAUACAGGGUGACAGCCCCGUACACAAAAAUGCACAUACUGUGAGCUCGAUGAGUAGGGCGGGACACGUGGUAUCCUGUCUGAAUAUGGGGGGACCAUCCUCCAAGGCUAAAUACUCCUGACUGACCGAUAGUGAACCAGUACCGUGAGGGAAAGGCGAAAAGAACCCCGGCGAGGGGAGUGAAAAAGAACCUGAAACCGUGUACGUACAAGCAGUGGGAGCACGCUUAGGCGUGUGACUGCGUACCUUUUGUAUAAUGGGUCAGCGACUUAUAUUCUGUAGCAAGGUUAACCGAAUAGGGGAGC
rnacentral:rRNA from 1 species